rnacentral:pre_miRNA from 1 species
AUCACCUGAGGAUCUUGUUAAAAUGCAGAUUCUGACUCAGUAGGUUUGGGGUGGAUCCUGAGAUUCAGCAUCUCUAACAACUUCUCAGGUGAUGCCAA